rnacentral:misc_RNA from 1 species
UCCGGUUUAUCACCGGCAGUCUCCAUAGAGUUCUCGCCAUUACGCGUUAGUAACUAUGAACAAGGGCACCCCGAUCUUUCAACCAGGUUCCUGCAUUUUCUAGCCCAGGUAAGGUUCUGCGCGUUGCGUCGAAUUGAACCACAUGCUCCACCGCUUGUGCGGGCCCCCGUCAAUUCCUUUGAGUUUUAGCCUUGCGGCCGUACUCCCCAGGCGGGGUGCUUAAUGCGUUAGCUACGGCACCGCAGGGGUCAAAACCCGCGACACCUAGCACCCAUCGUUUACAGCGUGGACUAC